AUGCGUUGUCGUCCUCUGGGCCUCGACGGGGUGCGUGCAGAUUGGUGUCUCGGGAUCCGUUGGACCUGUCGAGCUUUGGUGUUUGUGGGUAUGGCCAUCGCGAUGGAGAAGGUUGCCAUGCCGUGGAGAUUUCGUCUCCUGGCUUCGUCCCCAUGGCGGCUGGGCGUGCUUCAUCCCUCAUCAUGGAGCCUAGGAGUCAUGUUCAGGAGUUGGAGCGGCGCCAGAUCUCCCCAUGUCUCGUCCUCGGUGGUUCUUCAUCAUGUUGCAUCUCCGGUGUGCUGGUCCUACUGGACCGAGGUUGACGACUUCCCGGCCGCAAAGAACCCGUCUGCACUCUACAAGAUCAUGCCGGCAAAAUGUAGAGCGGCGCCUGAUCUCCCCAUGCCUCGUCCUCGGUGCUUCUUUGUCAUGUUGCACCUCCGGUGUGAUGGUCCUACUGGAUAG
rnacentral:rRNA from 1 species